UGCAGCAACUCUUUAAUACAGUUCCUCAUGUUGUGGUGAACCCCCCAGCCAUAAAAUUAUUUUGUUGCUACUUCAUAAUUGUAAUUUUGCUGCUGUUAUGAAUCAUAAUGUAAGUAUAUGAUGUGCGGGAUAUCUGAUAUUCGAUCCUCAAAGGGGUCAUGGCCCACAGGUUGAGAAUCAAUGCUUUAAGAUAAUGAGUACAUUGAGAGUUUGAAACAAGAGGGCUUCAAGUUCAAGGCCUUCAGAUAGAGCUUGGUCCAUUUAGUGAAAAUCUGAUUCAAAUGAAAAGUUCAACAGGAACUGGAGAUAAAGGAAAGGGGUGGUCUUGUAGAGCAAAGGUCUUAUUUUCCUGAUGAAGAUGAUGGAAAGCGACAAGUUUCGAGAGAGUUGUGUUAACUCCUUCAUGGCCUGGUGCACUAAGCACACUGACAAAACUGACUGAAGGGCUGCUAUGAUGCUGAGACUCUGCACAAAAACCAAAUAAACAGAAUUAUAUACAGGGCAACAGUUUCAAAUGUGGCCCCGUGGAGAGUCUGACUCCCAUCAGAAUAAAGAUUAGAGAAAACCUUUCUCAAGAAGACCACUGCAAGGAUCUAUAUGGCCACCAUAUACUCCUCUAUUCAGUGAUUUCUUCGUGUCAGAAUUACGCCUGUCAUCUUAAAUGUCACAGUGACUUCUUUCUCAUUUACACUGUCAUUUGACCCUAGCAUCUGGAUGAUGCCAGCAUUAAAAGAAAAUGGUGACAACAAGAAAACACAAACUUUAAGUAAACACUUCUCAAUGAGAGGUUGGCCUCUGUUUAUUUCUUGUUCUCUACUUCUUUAAAAAAAUUGUUCUGA